UCUUCUUCUUCCUCUUCAAGAACAAUGCAUCCUAAGAGUAGUUGCGAGAAAACCUAGAAGCCAAUUGUGCAGCAGUGAGUGAAUUGCACCAAAGGCAACCCCUGCGCGCGUCGCCUUCUCUUCACGCAUAUACGACGCUCCAAUAUCUCCUUCUCCUUUUUUCUGCAUCAUACAACUUUUCACCAGCCAUAGCCGCCUGCAAAAUUGUCCUUACAGCAUUAUCUACUUAUCCUUGUGGCAGUGAGAUGAUGCCAUGUUACAUCUAAAGGACCAUGAGGAUAAAUCUGAGUCGUCCGUUGCACCUGACGUCCGGAUUUUCUGGGAUUUGGAUGAAAUUUCGUACAAACCACAUCCUUUUCCAUUCCUUGGGGAGAUAUUUCAAACUUGAAUGAAGGGGAAUCAUGAUUUUACCCCCAAACAUCUCCAAAUUUCACCCGCCCUUUAUAUUCAUAAACCCUAGAUUUUCUUAUCUAUAGAAACAUCUCUUCCUCUCUAGAUCACGGCAGAUUUUUUUGGGGAGUUCAAAAAAGAAGAAAGUGGGUUUUGGAAAGUAUUACAGAUAAAGGAAUGCAAAACCAUAAAUUUUACUUCAGAAAACAUGCCUUAAAUACUCUUUCCUUCUUCAUUAUUCGUGAUUGGUUGGGAUCUGCAGGAGUUAAUUAGAAUUUUUGAAGUUCGGUGGAGUUGUCUUGUGGUCGUUGUCUCAGUUCGCUGACCCUCGAAAGAGAGAUUCGUAAAGGCUUGAUUCCCCUUAUUAGAGUCAGCCCGUCAAAUCAAAGAAUGAGUUUCAAAAAAAGGUGUACAGGUUCCCGAAUGGAAAGAAACCUAACUGGAAGAAGUUGAAGAUUUUGGGCCAACAAGCCAAAAUUUAUUUUCUAAAUUUUGUAUUUAGUUAUGUUGGGCCUAAGUACUUUUUGAUAUUAUCAUUAUUGUAUUGUUAGAAUUUUAGGACAUGUAGAAACGGGCCAAAGUCCCAAAAUGAAAUUGGUCCAAAUACGGUCCAGGCGGACAGAAACUAGAUUUGAACCCAA